rnacentral:rRNA from 1 species
AGAGUUUGAUCGUGGCUCAGGAUGAACGCUGGCGGCGUGCCUAACACAUGCAAGUCGAGCGAUCUCUUCGGAGAGAGCGGCGGACGGGUGAGUAACGCGUGGGUAACCUGCCCUGUACACACGGAUAACAUACCGAAAGGUAUACUAAUACGGGAUAACAUAUNAAAGUCGCAUGGCUUUUGUAUCAAAGCUCCGGCGGUACAGGAUGGACCCGCGUCUGAUUAGCUAGUUGNUAAGGUAAUGGCUUACCAAGGCAACGAUCAGUAGCCGACCUGAGAGGGUGAUCGGCCACACUGGAACUGAGACACGGUCCAGACUCCUACGGGAGGCAGCAGUGGGGAAUAUUGCCAAUGGGCGAAAGCCUGAUGCAGCAACGCCGCGUGAAGCGAUGAAGGCCUUCGGGUCGUAAAGCUCUGUCCUCAAGGAAGAUAAUGACGGUACUUGAGGAGGAAGCCCCGGCUAACUACGUGCCAGCAGCCGCGGUAAUACGUAGGGGGCUAGCGUUAUCCGGAAUUACUGGGCGUAAAGGGUGCGUAGGUGGUUUUUUAAGUCAGAAGUGAAAGGCUACGGCUCAACCGUAGUAAGCUUUUGAAACUAGAGAACUUGAGUGCAGGAGAGGAGAGUAGAAUUCCUAGUGUAGCGGUGAAAUGCGUAGAUAUUAGGAGGAAUACCAGUAGCGAAGGCGGCUCUCUGGACUGUAACUGACACUGAGGCACGAAAGCGUGGGGAGCAAACAGGAUUAGAUACCCUGGUAGUCCACGCCGUAAACGAUGAGUACUAGGUGUCGGGGGUUACCCCCCUCGGUGCCGCAGCUAACGCAUUAAGUACUCCCCCUGGGAAGUACGCUCGCAAGAGUGAAACUCAAAGGAAUUGACGGGGACCCCCACAAGUAGCGGAGCAUGUGGUUUAAUUCGAAGCAACCCGAAAAACCUUACCUAAGCUUGACAUCCCACUGACCUCUCCCUAAUCGGAAAUUUCCCUUCGGGGAAAGUGGUGACAGGUGGUGCAUGGUUGUCGUCACCUCGUGUCGUGAAAUUUUGGGUUAAGUCCCGCAACGAGCGCAACCCUUGCCUUUAGUUGCCAGCAUUAAGUUGGGCACUCUAGAGGGACUGCCGAGGAUAACUCGGAGGAAGGUGGGGAUGACGUCAAAUCAUCAUGCCCCUUAUGCUUAGGGCUACACACGUGCUACAAUGGGUGGUACCUGAGGGUUGCCAAGCCGCGAGGUGGAGCUAAUCCCUUAAAGCCAUUCUCAGUUCGGAUUGUAGGCUGAAACUCGCCUACAUGAAGCUGGAGUUACUAGUAAUCGCAGAUCAGAAUGCUGCGGUGAAUGCGUUCCCGGGUCUUGUACACACCGCCCGUCACACCAUGGAAGUUGGGGGCGCCCGAAGCCGGUUAGCUAACCUUUUAGGAAGCGGCCGUCGAAGGUGAAACCAAUGACUGGGGUGAAGUCGUAACAAGGUA